rnacentral:rRNA from 1 species
UACGGAGGAUGCGAGUGUUAUCCGGAAUCACUGGGCGUAAAGCGUCUGUAGGUUGUUUGCUAAGUCUGCUGUUAAAGCUUGAAGCUCAACUUCAAAAAUGCAGCGGAAACUAGUAGACUUGAGUGUGGUAGGGGUAGAGGGAAUUCCCGGUGUAGUGGUGAAAUGCGUAGAGAUCGGGAGGAACACCUGUGGCGAAGGCGGCCCCCUGGGCCGGCCCUGACGCUGAGACGCGAAAGCGCGGGGAGCGAACGGG